UGCGACAUGGGUCCCAUUAUUGUUCUCAUUUUACAGAUGAAGAAACUAAAGCCAAGAGAGGUUAAGUACCUUGCCCGACAUCACACAGCAUAGAAUAGCAUCUUGAGAAAGACGAAGAGGAGGACCUUACGAGUCUGCCUUCAAGGAACUGGCUGUCAAAAAGCUUAUUCGAGACCCAGAGAAAUGGAGAUCUGUCCAGAAGCACAGCCCAAAGCCUGGUCCUGCAGGAGAAGUUCAGAGAACGGCUGGGGCAGAGGAAGAAACAAACAGCAG